AAGAAAAACUGCAAAAGAAUACAAACAGCACCAUGUGGAUAUAGCUUAUAAUGCCCGACAAAAUCACAGACAGCAGGUGAAGGCAGCAAGGUUCAAGGUCACCUCAAGCUUCAGGGCUUUAGCUCUGGAUAAUUUAGAUCUUGCAGAUGAUGAAACAGACUUUGAGAUAAAGAAAACCAGAAACCAAGUAGUGAAGAGGAUGACAAAGGUAGCUCUGCAGUGGUAAUAGUCAGAGAGUGAUGCUAGUGAUAACCAAGCCGCCAGCAGCAGCGUAUUUCAGUUAAUUGAUGUAGAAGCGCCAGGUGGUGCUGGGGCGGUGCGAUCCUACGAAUCCCUCAUACAGGAAUCUCAGAGCAGCAGUGGUAUCACCUGUAACUCGGUUCCACUAGUACGAGAACAAGUUCCCCAAACACAGGAUGAGGAUUAUGUGUACGACUUGUAUUUACAAAUAACAGAGACUUUAGCUUUAAACUUCUAGAAAGUGCAUUGACAAUAGAGGCAUUUGGUGAUGAUUUGGUUUAUGAAGAUAUGCCACACCAGGAGGAAGAGCAUGUGUAUGAAGAGGAAGAUGAUAGUAAUGAUGAGGACAAUUGGAGGAAUGACUAUCCAGAUGAAGAUCCCCACUUCCUCGAUAACCAGCUAGAAACAGACUUUUUCUAUGGGGGUGAUGUGAUAGAACGACAAGCCUUUGCCGACACUGGUGAUGCUGGAUUGGCAGAGUGGAUGCACACUCGCUGCAACAUAGGUAAACCUUCAUCUUC